rnacentral:rRNA from 1 species
UGGGGAAUAUUGCACAAUGGGCGCAAGCCUGAUGCAGCAACGCCGCGUGAGGGAUGACGGCCUUCGGGUUGUAAACCUCUUUUAGUAGGGAAGAAGCGAAAGUGACGGUACCUGCAGAAAAAGCACCGGCUAACUACGUGCCAGCAGCCGCGGUAAUACGUAGGGUGCGAGCGUUGUCCGGAAUUAUUGGGCGUAAAGAGCUCGUAGGCGGUCUGUCGCGUCUGCUGUGAAAACCCGAGGCUCAACCUCGGGCCUGCAGUGGGUACGGGCAGACUAGAGUGCGGUAGGGGAGAAUGGAAUUCCUGGUGUAGCGGUGGAAUGCGCAGAUAUCAGGAGGAACACCGAUGGCGAAGGCAGUUCUCUGGGCCGUAACUGACGCUGAGGAGCGAAAGCGUGGGGAGCGAACAGGAUUAGAUACCCUGGUAGUCCACGCCGUAAACGUUGGGCGCUAGAUGUGGGGACCAUUCCACGGUUUCCGUGUCGCAGCUAACGCAUUAAGCGCCCGCCUGGGGAGUACGGCCGCAA